AGACCAAUUAUGUCUUCACUACAACAAAGAAGCCGUAAUAUGUAGCCCCCGUAUCCUGUGAGUCCUACUUACAACUGCUCUCCAAAUAAACCCUAUUAUUACAUACAAAACAAUCCUGAUUUCUGAUUGGCUGAAAACAGACAUGUGACAUACAAAGAAUUUUCUAUUAUUUACUUCAUAUGACAAGAGCACUGAGGAGCUGCACCAUAAACCAAGCAACAGUAUCAUUAAGUACUUUACUUGUCAGUGAUAUGAAUUCAAUGCAUGUUUCUCUUUUCAUCAAUUGAACUAACUUUCAAGCUUCAGAUUACUACUGAAUUGUUUUACUGUACUUUGAGGUUCAUUUCCCCUUGAAAAUAGAUCACAGUGUUAGCAUUUCCUUUGCAGGGAGAGGGCUGGGAAGGUGAUUAGACCUAUGAUCACAGACACAUUUCGUUAAAAAUGUAUGUGGUAAUAAUGAAAUUCAACUGCACCAAUAUGCGAAUUUAAGGCAGAAUAAAAGAAAAACCACGCCUAGACACACUGUAGUGAAAUUGUAGAUCAAAGACAAAGAGAAGUUCUUGAAAGCAGCCAGAGAGAAAGGACAGAUCACCUACAAAGGAAUGACAGACAAUUAGAA